GCCUGGCUGGCUCAGUUGGUGGAGCAUGCGAUUCUUGAUCUCAGGAUUGUGGGUUCAAGCUCCACAUUGGGUA
rnacentral:tRNA from 1 species